GACGAACGCUGGCGGUAUGCUUAACACAUGCAAGUCGAACGAGAAGUCUUUUAUUGAACCUUCGGGGGAUAUAAGAGACAGACAGUGGCGAACGGGUGAGUAACGCGUGGGCAACCUACCUAUCGGAGCGGGAUAGCCUCGAGAAAUCGGGAGUAAAACCGCAUAACACGGAUAUAUCGCAUGAUGAAUCCGUCAAAACUCCGGUGCCGAUAGAUGGGCCCGCGUCUGAUUAGCUAGUUGGUAAGGUAAGGGCUUACCAAGGCAACGAUCAGUAGCCGGUCUGAGAGGGCGAACGGCCACACUGGAACUGAGACACGGUCCAGACUCCUACGGGAGGCAGCAGUGGGGAAUAUUGCGCAAUGGGGGCAACCCUGACGCAGCAAUACCGCGUGAGUGAAGAAGGUUUUCGGAUCGUAAAGCUCUGUUAUUGGGGAAGAAGCAGUGACGGUACCCAAUGAGGAAGUCCCGGCUAACUACGUGCCAGCAGCCGCGGUAAUACGUAGGGGACGAGCGUUGUCCGGAAUCACUGGGCGUAAAGGGCGCGUAGGCGGUUUUAUAAGUCAGAUGUGAAAGGUACCGGCUCAACCGGUGACGUGCAUUUGAAACUGUAAGACUUGAGUACUGAAGAGGCAAGCGGAAUUCCUAGUGUAGCGGUGAAAUGCGUAGAUAUUAGGAAGAACACCGGUGGCGAAGGCGGCUUGCUGGGCAGAUACUGACGCUGAGGUGCGAAAGCGUGGGGAGCGAACAG
rnacentral:rRNA from 1 species